rnacentral:tRNA from 1 species
GUUUUAAUAGUUUAAAUAAAAUAUUGGUCUUGUAAAUCAAAGAUAAGAUUUUCUUUUAAAACU